GUUCCAGAGGAGGAUCUUGAGCGACCUCACAGAGGGAGAGGUUUGUUUCGGACACAGAGACGGUUUCUAGAAGACGCCUGUUUGAGUCCAAACCCUUUUGUCACAACAAGCAGUUUGUUGCUGUGACACUGGCAGAAAAGAAGCGUGUAAUCAAGCCAAAAACCAUCUUUCAUUUGACCUGAACCUGAAGUCUGAACAGAUGGAGACACUUCUCUGAGACUGGGAGUCUCUGGGUCUUAUCUGGGGUCUGGUCCUGGUCCAGUCCAUCUGUGACUGCGAGGAUUAAAGCGGCUGCAGACAGAUUUGAGCGAUGGAGAGUGACAGUGAUGGACGACCAGUUGGUGAUGGAGGCAGAGUGUGAUGCUAAGUCUAAGAAGUCUGGAAUUACUGACAUAACGACCCAGGAGAAAUUGAGAAGAAGAAGAAAAGGUUGGAAAUAUAAUGAAAAGUUAAUGUGGGAAAACUGUCGUCAGAAUGUUUUUUUUUACAAAGAAAUACUAGGUAAAUCAAAGUUAGCCAGAGCUAGCAAAAAUGGCUAACAUUUCAUUAAACCGUCCCAGAAACACGUUUUUCCUGAUGGAAAAAAAAUUAAUUCCCUGAUCAAUCCAACAGCUCUGCUGCAGGAGAUCUGUUUAGUUGUUCUUCUCAUCUGCUGAAAUGUCAAACAUCAUCAGUCUCUGCCUUGUUAGCUUUUCAGAAAGAAACAAAAACAAAAAAAAAGAAAAAUCAUGUUGUUUUUUUCUAUCUAAAUCAGAGGAAUGAGCUGCUCUUCA